rnacentral:rRNA from 1 species
UACAGAGGUCUCAAGCGUUGUUCGGAUUCAUUGGGCGUAAAGGGUGCGUAGGCGGCGCGGUAAGUCGGGUGUGAAAUCUCGGAGCUUAACUCCGAAACUGCAUUCGAUACUGCCGUGCUUGAGGACUGGAGAGGAGACUGGAGUUCAUGGUGUAGCAGUGAAAUGCGUAGAGAUCAUGAGGAAGACCAGUGGCGAAGGCGGGUCUCUGGACAGUUCCUGACACUGAGGCACGGAAGGCCAGGGGAGCAAACGGG